rnacentral:misc_RNA from 1 species
GAUGAAGAACGCAGCGAAAUGCGAUAAGUAGUGUGAAUUGCAGAAUUCAGUGAAUCAUCGAAUCUUUGAACGCACAUUGCGCCCCUUGGUAUCCCGAGGGGCAUGCCUGUUCGAGCGUCAUUUCACCACUCAAGCCUGGCUUGGUGUUGGGCGACGUCCUCUUUGGGGACGCGCCUCGAAACGCUCGGCGGCGUGGCACCGGCUUUAAGCGUAGCAGAAUCUUUCGCUUUGGAAGUCGGGGCCCCGUCUGCCGGAAGACCUGCUCGCAAGGUUGACCUCGGAUCAGGCAGGGAUACCCGCUGAACUUAAUCAUAUCAAUAAGCGGAGGA